rnacentral:rRNA from 1 species
AACGUAGGACGCGAGCGUUAUCCGGAUUCACUGGGCGUAAAGAGCGUUGAGGCGGUUCCGUAAGUUGGGCGUAAAAGCCCCCGGCCCAACUGGGGGAGGUCGUUCAAUACUGCGGAACUCGAGGGCAGCAGAGGAAGGUGGAAUUCCCGGUGUAGUAGUGAAAUGCGUAGAUAUCGGGAGGAACACCCGUGGCGAAGGCGGCCUUCUGGGCUGCUCCUGACGCUGAAUGCGAAAGCUAGGGUAGCAAACGGGAUUAGAUACCCCAGUA